GAAUUCAUAUUCAAGAAAUUGUAAAAGUAUAGGACAGAUUCUACUUGAGACAGAUAUUUUCAACUAAGUCCACUAUCAAUUCAUGUGAGUUACAUGUGGAAAGCAAUUGGAUCAUGUUACAUCUGAAAAUGUUUUCCUCCGCAUCCAUAUACAAGAAAUUGCAAAAGUAUAGGACAUAUUCUACUUGAGACAGAUAUUUCAACUAAGUCCACUAUCAAUUCAUGUGAGUUACAUGUGGAAAGCAA
rnacentral:lncRNA from 1 species